rnacentral:rRNA from 1 species
GAGUAAUGUCUGGGAAACUGCCUGAUGGAGGGGGAUAACUACUGGAAACGGUAGCUAAUACCGCAUAACGUCGCAAGACCAAAGAGGGGGACCUUCGGGCCUCUUGCCAUCGGAUGUGCCCAGAUGGGAUUAGCUAGUAGGUGGGGUAAAGGCUCACCUAGGCGACGAUCCCUAGCUGGUCUGAGAGGAUGACCAGCCACACUGGAACUGAGACACGGUCCAGACUCCUACGGGAGGCAGCAGUGGGGAAUAUUGCACAAUGGGCGCAAGCCUGAUGCAGCCAUGCCGCGUGUAUGAAGAAGGCCUUCGGGUUGUAAAGUACUUUCAGCGGGGAGGAAGGGAGUAAAGUUAAUACCUUUGCUCAUUGACGUUACCCGCAGAAGAAGCACCGGCUAACUCCGUGCCAGCAGCCGCGGUAAUACGGAGGGUGCAAGCGUUAAUCGGAAUUACUGGGCGUAAAGCGCACGCAGGCGGUUUGUUAAGUCAGAUGUGAA